GGGGUGUUGGCGCAAUGGUAGCGCGUGUCUCUCCUAUAUCUUUUCAUGUCAAGACAAGGUUGAGGGUUCGAGUCCCUUGCACCUCG
rnacentral:tRNA from 2 species